rnacentral:rRNA from 1 species
GAUGAACGCUAGCGGGAGGCCUAACACAUGCAAGCCGAGCGGUAGAGAUCUUUCGGGAUCUUGAGAGCGGCGUACGGGUGCGGAACACGUGUGCAACCUGCCUUUAUCAGGGGGAUAGCCUUUCGAAGGGAAGAUUAAUACCCCAUAAUAUUUAGAAUGGCAUCAUUUUAAAUUGAAAACUCCGGUGGAUAGAGAUGGGCACGCGCAAGACUAGAUAGUUGGUAGGGUAACGGCCUACCAAGUCUGCGAUCUUUAGGGGGCCUGAGAGGGUGAUCCCCCACACUGGUACUGAGACACGGACCAGACUCCUACGGGAGGCAGCAGUGAGGAAUAUUGGACAAUGGGUGCGAGCCUGAUCCAGCCAUCCCGCGUGAAGGAUGACGGCGCUAUGGGUUGUAAACUUCUUUUGUAUAGGGAUAAACCUAGAUACGUGUAUCUAGCUGAAGGUACUAUACGAAUAAGCACCGGCUAACUCCGUGCCAGCCGCCGCCGUAA